rnacentral:rRNA from 1 species
CAAAGGUGAGCCAGUACAGGAUGGACCCGCGUCUGAUUAGCUAGUUGGUAAGGUAACGGCUUACCAAGGCGACGAUCAGUAGCCGACCUGAGAGGGUGAUCGGCCACAUUGGAACUGAGACACGGUCCAAACUCCUACGGGAGGCAGCAGUGGGGAAUAUUGCACAAUGGGCGAAAGCCUGAUGCAGCAACGCCGCGUGAGUGAUGAAGGCCUUCGGGUCGUAAAACUCUGUCCUCAAGGAGGAUAAUGACGGUACUUGAGGAGGAAGCCCCGGCUAACUACGUGCCAGCAGCCGCGGUAAUACGUAGGGGGCUAGCGUUAUCCGGAUUUACUGGGCGUAAAGGGUGCGUAGGCGGUCUUUCAAGUCAGGAGUGAAAGGCUACGGCUCAACCGUAGUAAGCUCUUGAAACUGGGAGACUUGAGUGCAGGAGAGGAGAGUGGAAUUCCUAGUGUAGCGGUGAAAUGCGUAGAUAUUAGGAGGAACACCAGUUGCGAAGGCGGCUCUCUGGACUGUAACUGACGCUGAGGCACGAAAGCGUGGGGAGCAAACAGGAUUAGAUACCCUGGUAGUCCACGCUGUAAACGAUGAGUACUAGGUGUCGGGGGUUACCCCCUUCG